rnacentral:rRNA from 1 species
AGUGAACGCUGGCGGUAGGCCUAACACAUGCAGGUCGAACGGCAGCACAGUAAGAGCUUGCUCUUACGGGUGGCGAGUGGCGGACGGGUGAGGAAUACAUCGGAAUCUACUUUUUCGUGGGGGAUAACGUAGGGAAACUUACGCUAAUACCGCAUACUACCUACGGGUGAAAGCAGGGGAUCUUCGGACCUUGCGCGAUUGAAUUAGCCGAUGUCGGAUUAGCUAGUUGGCGGGGUAAAGGCCCACCAAGGCGACGAUCCGUAGCUGGUCUGAGAGGAUGAUCAGCCACACUGGAACUGAGACACGGUCCAGACUCCUACGGGAGGCAGCAGUGGGGAAUAUUGGACAAUGGGCGCAAGCCUGAUCCAGCCAUACCGCGUGGGUGAAGAAGGCCUUCGGGUUGUAAAGCCCUUUUGUUGGGAAAGAAAAGCAGCAGGUUAAUACCCCGCUGUUCUGACGGUACCCAAAGAAUAAGCACCGGCUAACUUCGUG